UUUUUUGCAUACAUAUGUUGUAAUUUAUUUUUUUCAAAACGAACAUAUAAUACACAACUCAUAGAGAAAUUAAAUGUACGUACAACGUCGCACAUCGAUUAUUAUUUUUUUUUUUUGAAAAUAGUUUAGAUCAUUGUAAAUAUUAUCAACAUGUUUCCAACUACGAAUGUGCAAAAGUUUAAUUUAUCGGACGUCCAAGUUUUAAAGUUUGAUUCACUUUAAUAUGGUCCCAAUUUUUAUUGAAAUUUGGCGUUACAUUAU
rnacentral:lncRNA from 1 species